UAGCUUUAUAUCAAUAUAUGAGGUGAUAAAAAAAGAUUCAAGACUAUGCACAGUCACAGGGAGCACCGACCUUCGUUGCACACACAGUCACAGGGAGCACCGAUCUUCAUAAGUUGAUGUGCCAAAAGACAUCUUCCUGCCCAUAUCGGGAUAUAUUAACAUACUAUAAAGGAACAACACUGCUGGCUUUGUUCGUAUGUCAUAUGGAACAGCCUUGGUGAUCCUCAUGUGGGGUUUGAACAUGCGCCGUGUUCCUGCCAAGUUUGUCCCCAGGCUGUUGACUCAGGAACACCACAUUUGAAAUCUACCAAGAACUCUAUCAGUAUGCCAUGGACAACCCGUCCUUCAUUUCGAGAAUCAUUACCAGUGAUGAAACUUGGGUGCAUGGGUAUGACCCUGAGACUAAGCAACAGUCUUCACAUUGGAAGAGCCCUUCAUCUCCAUGACCAAAAAAAGUGAGGCAGGUCCGCAGCUCAUUCACAUUGCAGCCAUUCACUGCAUUGUGCAUUGAGAAUUCGUCUCCGGGGUCCAGACCUCUAAUAGUGAUUUCUACUGUAAUGUUUUAAGGCGUCUGAGGGAGAACAAAGCUUUUUGAUACCACCCAUAACAAUAAUCACCUUUUUCUGCUGGCUUAAACUCUACAAGGAUCAUAUAUUUUAGUAUAUUUUUUGCUCUUGAAUAUGUAUUAAAUGAUUCCUAAUAAUC